CUGCCGCUCGCUCUCUACAGCCGUGGCCGCGAGCGGAGUGCGGCUCGACCCGACGGCGCGCUGUGUAGGUCUGCUGCCUCUCACAUGGAAAGCGCAGCUCCCUAGUUUCCCUUAGCUCGUCUCUCGCACGGCUCUCUGUGUCUCUGGCCGACCGCGACACACGUAGAGCAGUGCAAAACCCCGGGGGCCUGUAUUUGGAAUAAGAAAAGCAUUGCUGCUUUGCGACUGGACGGACGAAAGAAAGGACUCCUCUGACAUUUCCUGUGGAUGUUUUAAUUCGGACGCCUCGUUACCGAGGCUUUGCAGUCAACUGCCUGGGCAUAUAAUGUAACCAGCAGUUCUCCUGCAGGGAGGUUCAGAGGAGUUCUCUUCUUUCCUUUUUCUGGUCGUUGGCAGCAAUCGCGAUCAAGCAUUCCAAGCAGGUGGGGGUCAAAGGGGGGUCGUGGACCGAGUGGUGAGUUGGUGAGGAACGCCCGGGGCGUUGGACACGAUGUUGGCACCUGCAUGAACCCGACGUCGAAGCCUGGGCACCAGUUCUCUUUCCUGAGACAAAAACCGCAGGAUGGCGCUUGGGAAAGGUCUCGGGGGAGAGAAUGUUUCAUGACUUUCACACCUUCAACCUCAAGCUCUUGAACUGUCUGGGAGGUGGCUUGAGUGCUGAAAGGUAAGUUUGAAUUUAUGUUUUAGGACUGUAUUAUACACACACUCACUUGACUUGU